rnacentral:rRNA from 1 species
UACAGAGGUCUCGAGCGUUUGUUCGGAUUCAUUGGGCGUAAAGGGUGCGUAGGCGGUGUGUCACGUCGGCCGUGAAAACCUGCAGCUUAACUGUGGGCGUGCGGUCGAUACGGGCAUCACUGGAGUUCGGCAGGGGAGACUGGAAUUCCUGGUGUAGCGGUGAAAUGCGCAGAUAUCAGGAGGAACACCGGUGGCGAAGGCGGGUCUCUGGGCCGAUACUGACGCUGAGGAGCGAAAGCGUGGGGAGCAAACAGG